UCGCCUCAUUCUUCUUUCUUGU
rnacentral:siRNA from 1 species